GGCCCGGUGGUGUGGUGGUAACACCCCUGCUUUAUGUUCCUGUAUAAGGUGAUGUUUAAGUGGAAGAUCCUUGUUCGAACCAAGGCCCGGCUA